GACGAACGCUGGCGGCGUGCUUAACACAUGCAAGUCGAACGGAAAGGCCCUGCUUUUGUGGGGUGCUCGAGUGGCGAACGGGUGAGUAACACGUGAGUAACCUGCCCUUGACUUUGGGAUAACUUCAGGAAACUGGGGCUAAUACCGGAUAGGAGCUCCUGCUGCAGGGAGGGGGUUGGAAAGUUUCGGCGGUUGGGGAUGGACUCGCGGCUUAUCAGCUUGUUGGUGGGGUAGUGGCUUACCAAGGCUUUGACGGGUAGCCGGCCUGAGAGGGUGACCGGCCACAUUGGUACUGAGAUACGGCCCAGUCUCCUACGGUAGGCAGCGGUGGGGAAUAUUGCACAAUGGGCGGAAGCCUGAUGCAGCAACGCCGCGUGCGGGAUGACGGCCUUCUGGUUGUAAACCGCUUUCGCCUGUGACGAAGCGUGAGUGACGGUAAUGGGUAAAGAAGCACCGGCUAACUACGUG
rnacentral:rRNA from 1 species